rnacentral:rRNA from 1 species
CCUACGGGGGACAGCAGUGAGGAAUAUUGGGCAAUGGGCGGGAGCCUGAACCAGCCAAGCCGCGUGAAGGAAGAAGGCGCCAGGCGUCGUAAACUUCUUUUGUCAGGGAACAAAGGCGGGGACUAGUCCCCGGAUGAGGGUACCUGAUGAAAAAGCAUCGGCAAACUCCGUGCCAGCAGCCGCGGUAAUACGGGGGAUGCGAGCGUUAUCCGGAUUGAUUGGGGUAAAGGGGUGCGCAGGGGGCCUGUUAAGUCAGUGGUAAAAGCCCGGGGCUCAACCCGGGAGAGCCGUUGAAACUGGAGGGCUGGAGUUGGAGAGAAGUACGCGGAAUGCGUGGUGUAGCGGUGAAAUGCUUAGAUAUCGCGAAGAACCCCGAUUGCGAAGGCAGCGUACCGGCUCCAAACUGACGCUGAGGCACGAAAGCGUGGGUAUCGAACAGGAUUAGAUACCCGAGUAGUC